rnacentral:rRNA from 1 species
AUUGAACGCUAGCGGCAGGCCUAACACAUGCAAGUCGAACGAGUGGCGGACGGGUGAGUAAUGUCUGGGAAACUGCCUGAUGGAGGGGGAUAACUACUGGAAACGGUAGCUAAUACCGCAUACCAUCAGAUGUGCCCAGAUGGGAUUAGCUAGUUGGUGGGGGAACGGCUCACCAAGGCGACGAUCACUAGCUGGUCUGAGAGGAUGACCAGCCAAACUGGAACUGAGACACGGUCCAGACUCAGACGGGAGGCAGCAGUGGGGAAUAUGGCACAAUGGGCGCAAGCCUGAUGCAGCCAUGCCGCGGGUAUGAAGAAGGCCUUCGGGUUGUAAAGUACUUUCAGCGGGGAGGCGUUACCCGCAGAAGAAGCACCGGCUAACUACGUGCCAGCCGCCGCGGUAAUUC